CUCACUAUACCAUCAAUAUGAGAGUCACCCAGCUUAUUGGACGACAACUGGCUCAGAUAGGAGACGAAUUGGACUACAAAUGGCGUGAACAACUGCCUGUCCAAUUGCAGCCAUUGAAUUUUGGGAUUUAUCUUUACAUCCUAACCAGGAGAGCGUUCUCUGGGAUCCUCGGAAACAUAUGGGGGUCUAAAAUUAUGCCAAUGUUGAGGACAUCCUGGUUGAUUCCACAGCUUCAGAAUGGCUGUCAGGAGGCUAAGAAGUGGGCAGCCUGGGUGUCCAAUGUUUCUGACUGGUCUCGCCGAACCACAUACAUACUGGCGUCUGCUUUACUACUGGUCACUGUGUCUAUCUUCCUUAUAACUUAGAAUGGAUAUGAAGGCUGAAUGUGAC